rnacentral:rRNA from 1 species
GACGGCUUGCUGUUCAGUAACGAAGCUAACGCGUGAAGUUGACCGCCUGGGGAGUACGGCCGCAAGGUUGAAACUCGAAGGAAUUGACGGGGACCCGCACAAGCGGUGGAUGAUGUGGUUUAAUUCGAUGCAACGCGAAAAACCUUACAUACCCUUGACAUGCCUAGAAUUCCGCAGAGAUGUGGAAGUGCUCGAAAGAGAACUAGGACACAGGUGCUGCAUGGCCGUCGUCAGCUCGUGUCGUGAGAUGUUGGGUUAAGUCCCGCAACGAGCGCAACCCUUAUCAUUAGUUGCUACGCAAGGGCACUCUAAUGAGACUGCCGGUGACAAACCGGAGGAAGGUGGGGAUGACGUCAGGUCAUCAUGGCCCUUAUGGGUAGGGCUACACACGUCAUACAAUGGCCGGUANCAGAGGGCUGCCAACCCGCGAGGGGGAGCUAAUCUCAGAAAACCGGUCGUAGUCCGGAUCGCAGUCUGCAACUCGACUGCGUGAAGUCGGAAUCGCUAGUAAUCGUGGAUCAGAAUGUCACGGUGAAUACGUUCCCGGGUCUUGUACACACCGCCCGUCACACCAUGGGAGCGGGUUCUGCCAGAAGUAGUUAGCCUAACCGCAAGGAGGGCGAUUACCACGGCAGGGUUCGUGACUGGGGUGAAGUCGUAANCAAGGUACC